rnacentral:rRNA from 1 species
UACAGAAGUCUCAAGCGUUGUUCGGAUUCAUUGGGCGUAAAGGGUGCGUAGGUGGUGACGCAAGUCUGGUGUGAAAUCUCGGAGCUCAACUCCGAAAUUGCACCGGAUACUGCGUGACUCGAGGACUGUAGAGGAGAUCGGAAUUCACGGUGUAGCAGUGAAAUGCGUAGAUAUCGUGAGGAAGACCAGUUGCGAAGGCGGAUCUCUGGGCAGUUCCUGACACUGAGGCACGAAGGCCAGGGGAGCAAACGGG